UGGCACCAGGCGCACAAUUUCAUACUGUGAUUUCUUCAUCCAUGCAAGCUAUUCACAGCUGAGCUAAGUCAUGGCUUAUAGAAAGACAAUCAAAAUGUACACAGCCCUGUGAUGCACUCUGAACUACCUAUCUGGAUUUCAAAUUUCCUUCCACAUGGCUCUCAAUUAGAAGUUUCCAUCCAUGCUCCCCCCCACCCCCUUAUUAGAAGAGUUCCUUAUCCCCCCUUGACAGCACUAAGCUAUUUUAGAUGUAACAUUUGUGCACAUAGAUGUUUCAGGAGAGCUCUAAUUUAUCAGCUAUCUACUCUUCUUUCACCCUCUUAUUCAAGCAUUUCAACAGAGCAACAGAUGGUCCUUGCGGGCCAUUUGCUGUGAUUGGAAUUGUGGUGUCCCAAAGAAGGGAUGCUUUAUUACAGCUAAAAGUGAGUCUAAGUUUCCUUACCCAGUCAGAAUUUCAAAACAUGCCUCGAUUUGCUUUGCUACUAAAGAAAACACGUUUCCCAACAACUGAAGGGUGAAAUCUGCAAACUUUAAAAAUCAUCUCUCACCAUAUGGACAAUCAUACCCUUAUAAUCAGAGAGAACAGAUAUUUUGAAGACAUAGCAUAGAAAAGUCCUCAUUUUUUGUCUCUGUACCUUAGGAUCCUGAACUUGGGAUGACUGAAAUAAUAAUUUAUUUGGAAGCAACCUCUCUUCUCUUUAUUUAUUGAUAUCAUUGGCACAUUUAAACAUUUGUAUGGACUAGUUUCAAUUGUGUACUCUAUCAAGGUACCUUAGGAGCACAGGCAUUACAUGAGCCAAAAGUUUUUUCUUAAUUAAAAAAAAAAAAACAGACUAAAAAUGCUGUCUGAAAUAUUUUUGUUUUAAUUCACAUUCUGGACAUUCAUAAAUCUUGGGGAAAUGAGAGUCAAACAGCUUGAUGCUUCAUGGUGCCGGUUUUGUAUUUUUUUGAUAGCUGACCAGCUAAAGUGAAUUCUGGGGUAUGGGCACCUUCCUAGGGAACACUUAGGCCAGGUGAAGCCCAUGACUUAGAGGCAGAGCAACGUUUUGAGCUUGACGCAUGGGUGACAUUCAGGAUUGUUAAGGCUCCCUGGACAGCACAUGAAAUCUUCUGCCAAAUUUAUUCUAUUCCUGUUUUAUGUAAAAUAGGUUUGAAAUUCUUGGUAAAAGAGACUCUAACAGAGAUCUUCCUUCCUCUCCUCUCAUGCCCCUAUGACUAUGUAUUCAGGGUACUUUCUAUUGGCAUGGAAGAAAUACAUUUGAACCCUGUGUGGAUGUACCAGUCUCUAAAUCCCAUCUGUAGCUUUCAGUCCUCAGCUGGGGUUGAUAAGAGGUUUUAUUCACCACUUUUUUAGAUGUCUUAUGUCUUUCCUUCUGUAGAGCUUCACAGCCUGCAGACUUUUGAACUGAUCCAGCCUCUUGACUCUGGGAACUGACUUUGUGCCACAGCCUGUUCACGUCUGUCUUGCAUCAGACGCACAAGUUCACAGACCAAGCAAAUGGAUGAUUCAAGCCUGUGAUCUGAACCCUUAGACCAGGACUGAAGUGUAAAGAGUCACAUUGUGUGAUGUCAGGUUCUGAGAGGGCAGCAAAUUUUUCUUUCCCUCUACAAGAAAGAAGACAAGAGAAGGAGGUUUCUGUUUUCUCUCAAUUUAGAACAGUAAAUAUAGCUUAAUAGCACUUCUUUCAUUUCACAGCAGAUUUUAUGCAGAGCUCAACAUACCAAGGUCCAUGGACAGGGUAAAAUAAACCGGUAGAUUUCAGAUGGAAAAGACAUUGUGGCAGGAGAGGAGAUUACUGAGGGAAAUAAGUUGAUUUAGCCAGACAGGAAAAGCAUACGUGCUGGGAUGGUCUGGAUUAUGGAGGUAAAGCCUGUAAUUUUGAAUUACAUUCACAAGGUGAACUCAUACAGUAAAACUUUACUCUUUUAUGUCCUAUCAUCUUGGGGAAUUCAUAACCCAGAUUAGAUGCCAGACUCCCUUAUCUAAUGCAGAAGAAUGAGAUGCCUGAGAAUAGGAAAUAUAAAAAGCAGCAUAAUGAACAGGAAGCUGUAAGGGUGAAUCUGUGGAAAAUGCCAGUAGAUUUUACCUAUGUUUAACCUGGAAGUUUUCUGAUUUCCCCCUGUGCUCAAAAGUGUUUGUUCUGUGAAGAUGGUCACCUUUCUACAGCACAAAGCUUUAGACUGGUCCAGAUUUAGGGCAGAUGGGUCUGUGAACUCCAUUUAGGAGUCUUUGGAGGAUGAUGAACAGCUAGGUGUGCCUAAGACUAUGACUAGCUUUGGUGGUGCCCAUCUUUUACAUAAACUCCUACCACAAAAGCAUGGCAAGAAAAUUCUCAUAAUCUUUAUGAAGACUGAACUCAGGCUUAAGAGAGCAUAAUAAACACCAGCCCAUGGGGUACCUGGUGUGACAGCACUUUCCAGUUUGCUAUAUUUUUCUCUAGAAGUUGAGUCACUGCGCAGCCAUUUAUGCAACACUGGUGGGAGCACAAACCACAAAGUGUUUAUAUCACUUCACUUAACUGGGUUGGAAGGUAGAGGUCAGAAUGUGGAGGCUAAUAGAUUGUACAUUACCUGGAAGGUGACAACAAGUGAAGAACUACAGAGGACUAUACUGGGACUUGUUUUGUUUAACGUUUUUAUCAAUGACCUGCAGGAGAUGACAGAGUGCACUUGUCACAUUUCCAAAUGACACCAAAAUGGGGGGCAGGGAAGGGAAUGAGGACCCACUGAUAUGCUUGAGGGCAGGGUCACCACCCAGUGGGACAUAGGGUGGAGGAAUGGGCCGACAGGAACGUUAUGAAAUUCAAUAAGGACAAACACCAGGUCCGGCACCUGGGAUUACCUUGCAGUGAUAAAGGCUGGGAACACUCCAGCUGGGGAGUAGCUCUGCUGGGGAGGACCCAAGGGCCAUGGCAGACAGCAAGCUGAACAUGAGCCUGCAGAAGCGAAGAAGGCCAACAGUAUCCUGGGCUAUAUUAACAGCAGCCUGGCCAGUACAGGGAAGGGAGUGAUUAUCCCCCUUUGCUCAGCACUCCUUAGAUGGCACCUAGAAUACCACACCCACUUUCAGGCCCCUCAGUACAAGACAGACAUCAAUUAAAUGGAGCAAGUUCAGAUGAAGGCUACCAAGAUGAUUGGGGUCUGGAGCCUUUACCUUACGGAGAAAGACUGAAGGAUCUGGGAUUUCUUCUGAGGAACCUGACUGCUGUGGACUACAUCUAGAUAUAUGGAGCAAAACCCUGUCUUUCCAGCAGCCUGCCAGUAGCCAUGAGGAUGUUAUUAAGAAGACAUAACCAGGCGCUUCACAAAGGAGCAUGUCAGGAUGGUGAGGGAUGUUUGGUAUAUGUUGAGGUAAAAAAGCUUCAGGUAGGUAUGAGGAAAACCUUUUCCCCAUGAAGACAGUCACACAGUGAAACACAUCACCCAGAGGCUGUAAUCUCUACCUUUGGACAUUUUCAAAACCAGACUGGACAAGGCCCUGGCCAACCUGCUCUGAUCUCAUAUCUGAGCUGCGUUUGAACCACAGAAUUCCUGAGGUCCCUUCCUGAGUUGUCCUCUGAUCCUGUCAAUACACAUCUGGGGUUUGUCUGGGUGCAAGGAGACAGUACUGCUUAUGCUGUAGGCUUGAAACUCACUCUUUGUCUUAUAACAGCCUGGUGUUUGGGGCUUUUUCUUGGCACAUGGGCUUGUUUAAUGCCUCUUGGGCUAAAAAGAACAUAAACCCGAGUCUAUUACUCCCUGGGUGGUGUCAAUACUUAGUAAAGGGCAGACAGCAGCCACAUUGCUUUGUUGUAAUGUAGCUACAUGUUAUAUAGCUGUAAUAUGUUGUAAAAUAGGCCCACCCUUGUACAUCCCUAGCGUGGAUCCUAAAUAGUUACUGACUGUGCUCACAUGGGGAGUGGCCACCUCUCACCACCCAGAACUCAUGGCCACAGGUCCUCUCUGGGGUCAAUGCCUGCCCUUUUCUUGUAAGAACUGAAACUGCUGCCUCACUUGCAGCUUGGGUAUCAUGGAUUGGAGCAGUCAUUCAGCCUAAAGGACUGGCUGCAGUGGCAAGGGGUCACGACUUAGAGCUUCACCUGGGGAAAUGGAAGGUGGGCAAAAUGGAGGCAGAGAAACCGUCUGAAAUAACAUCCAGGUAUGGGUGAUGAGUCAUCGUCGCGAAGCUGUGAUCCUUCCUUCCGCUAUAACAGAAGAUGCUGGCAUAGAAGCAGGAACAUAUUUUUCUUGCAGUUUCAAAGUCACACUGGAUGGACUUUGGAUACUUUUUAGAAGCUGUGCAGAUGGGAUGUAGAAGAUGGGCACCUAAAUGCUGCUUGUGCUCUAGCAGCAGAGAUCUGCUGUGACUGGCUGGUUGUCCCAGGAGCCUCCUUUCAGUAGUGACAGCCCUGAGUUCUCCUGUCAUCCGUUCAUCAACUUCUACAGGUUAUCACUACUUAGAGUGAGGAGGUUUUCAGUUUUGGAAAUGCUAACAGAUAGAACACACAGGCAUGAACACACACCUCAAAGUGUUGGGCUCAUCCCUAUCCUCCAGGUCACAGAUACUUUACUUUCCCACCAUUUAAAUUUCUUUUCCUAAUUCAUGUGACUCACCCCUUAUCUCAGUCUUUUAAAAUCUAAUCUAGAUUUUUCCUUUCUCAGCAAUUUUUAUCUACUUUUGACUUCAAACUUUGUGAAAGUACCUCCCACUGCUACUGUUUGACUUCCAUUGAAUCUCCCAUCUGUUACUCUGUAACAGGGCUGAAAUAAGGCACCUUCAUCUACUAACAAGGUGUUUCCCAAGGCCAACAUGACCUUUUCUGGCUGCUGCCAAGGCUUCUUGUUAUUUUCAUCUUCCCCAGUCUGUCUGUGGCUACCAAGCUACCAGUGAUAACUCAAAUAAUCAAUUUCUCAUUCAUUAUUCUGUCCUCAAACACCUUUGACCAUGCUUCUCCCCUUCUCAACCUUUCCUUUAUGAUCAGUUCCUCAGUGAUUCUUUGUUAUUUUGUCUCUAUCUUUAGCCUGUUUUCAUUUUCAUCCUCUGGCAGUCCCUUGGCAGCCCAUUCCCCUGUCCAUGCCGAUAGCUCACAUGGUUAUCUCCUUGUCCUUGACCCACGGCCUGGCCAUUCUCUCUCUAGUCUUCUUAUAUGGUUCUGACAUUGCUAUGAUGUACUCAUCAACUCAAACACAGCUUUAUAUCAACUGGAUUCUAUUUUUGUCUUUUAUUUUCCAUCCUUCUUCAUUACCAGUAUGAAUUCCCUGGGCUACUUGGCAAAUUGUCGUCACUGGACUCUCACCAGAUGGUCAUAAUAGUGUCCCGGAUCUGAAGCCUCUAAGUUCUUAUCUUACUGGGGCUGAAAACAGGCUAAACCCUGUUCUUGGCUUUAAGCAUCAACCCUGUAUUUCCAGAGCACAUCUCAUGCCUGGCACCAGGAGCGACUCCUCAGUCUAAUAGCCUAGCUCUGGAACCGGUACCUUCUCUGCCUAAUUCUUCUCAGCAGUCAUUAUGUCUCCUUGUAUCCCACUGAAGAAAUAUGAGUCUUCAUUUGGUUUACAUUUUAUUUCUUCAAGGGCACAUGAUAGAUGCAGGUAAAAAAAAUUUCUGCAUAUGCACACACACACAUGCAAUUUUCAUAAGAGUCUAAAACUUGACUGAUCUUUUCUAAAUAAUACAAGAAACACGUGAAUUGAGGUAAGGUUAAAAAAGCCGUAAAGCCUCUCUGUGUUUCCACUGCCUUGGUUUCCUCCUCAUUCUGGAUGUAGUCUUUCGGCUUCAUUCAGAGCCACUCAAGAACAUAGAAAAUAUUUUCUCUGCAAUAUUGUAUUGCCUUUGAAACCAAAAGUUUCAAUCAGCUCACUUUAGUACAGUUGGUCUUGUCAAUAAAGAGGGUCUUCCUAUUACAAAGGCAUAUCUUUUUAUUCCGUUCUCUUACUUUAAACCCUCUCUCACUGCCAUCUCAGUGAGUGUCUUCUCUGUGUGUGUUCCAAUACAGGAUUCCUUUGUUUUGCCACUGGCUCUUCUUUCCUCUCCACUUCACCUGCAGACUAGCUGAAGUAAAGUACUUCUCCUUGCUUCUGCUGACCCCCUUGGCAUUGUCUGUUUAGAGUAGAGACAUUAAGAUCUCUAUUAUAGCUAGUCUGGGAAAGACAUACUUAUGGCCUUGUGACUGAAUACAUAGUGGUAUUCAAUGAUACAAUAGUUUUCAUAGGAACAAUUUCAUCAUAUCGAACACAACAGUGAAUUUCCACUUGCAAUCUUUCACCCAUUUUUCAUCUCCUCUUUCUCUUAUUCCCCUCCCAUUGAUACACUUGGCUGACGCUCAGCAGAAAAGACAGUGCAGUAACCUAAUUCUUUCUUCUCUUUUCCAGCUUUCUUGUCAUACCUUUGCAUAGUUUUGCAGCCUGGAAUCCCCUUAUCCCUAAAAUCAGUAUUCCUUAUUCAACUUCAAUCUGGGCAAAAAUGUGUUUACCAUCUGGCAAAUUAUCUUCUUGGCCUACCACACCCACACAGAAAAUGGGAAGGGAGCUCAAAAGGUCAUCGGGCCUAUCGCUUGCCCUGGGGCAGGAUCAGCCACAUCUCCAACAUUCCCAACAGAUGUUUAUCUAACUUGUUCUUAAAACCUUCAUGUAUGGAGAUUUUCCUAGCUCCUCAUGCAGUGCUCAGUUCUCCUUGCAAAUUCUUAAUGAUCCUUGGUGUCCUGAGCUCUUCAAUUACAACCUCUCACAUUCCCCCAUUAAAUUCAACCUGCUUAUCUGCUCCUUCAAAGGCUCUGCACAGCUCUGGCUCCAUCUGUCCCUGGUUCUUUAUGAGAGUGUCUUCACAGGGUGUCUGGGUGCCUUUGCCCUCUUACUGAUUAGCUAUUUAAGCCGCAUAUCUCUCCUCACAUUCUGCACCCACCCAUCUCACUAUCUCCAUCUGUCUGGCGUCCCUUUGCCCAAAAAUCACUUCAUCAGGCUUUCAUUUUCACUUUCACGAACUUUCCCCUUAAAGUCUUUUCUUUUGUGAAUAAGCAGACUCUAGUCCACUUUAAAAUGUGCUUUUUAAAUGACAGCCCCCCCACUCCCAGCCCAAAAGUUACUAUUCAGUCUGCCACCCUGUGCACCCAGCCAAGUGUUGGGUUUUGUUUGCCUUCAUUAGCCUGUAAACUCAUUUUGGGUGGGGCUGUUUUCUGCCCUUUGUUCUCCACUGUGUUGAAUGUGCUGACAGCACUGAACUCUCGAUAAUUAAUAGCACAAACAAAGCUUAAAAAGGGAUGGAUCAAAGGAAGGAGAAAGGGAAGGCAGAGGGAAUAUGAGGUUUUGUUUAAAGCAGCAAGGAAGCUUCAGGAUAAAUGUAUCCUGUUGGGAUGUGUUGAACACCUGUUAGGAAGAGGUUAUGGGUAAGAUUGUUGAACAAUUUGAAUGAAGGCAGUCUCUGCAUCUCCCUAAAAUGCUCAGAAAAAAAUGCAUCCAGCGUAAGAGGUUGACACUUUGUGUAAAUUAAUGUAAAGCAAGAGAGACAACCAGUAGAUGAGUGAAACCUGGAAAGGACGCAGGAAAAGCACCACUGACCCUUUACCACAGGGUUUACCUUGGUCUGGACAUUGAAGCUUGCUUCCGUGUGUCCACUCUGCUACACUUCUCUUGACUUAUACCAAAAGACUUCUGAAAAGCUGAAGCAGACCUUAGAAGUGUUCAAUACCAUAGUGCUAAUGGUGACUGCCUGUUCCUCUGUGUGGAAUGGCUGAGCAAAUAUUGACAGUGCUGGCCCUACAGGCAGGAAACCUCCUCCCAUCGCCCUCUCUUCAGCAGACUCAAAGGUGGUAUGAGAAGGGAGGGAUGGAAGGUGGUGCUUCCAUGGCACGUGGUAUAGAGCUUUCUGGUGGUGUUCAGUGAAUUACCUCGUACACAGGUCAGUGGAUCACACAAACAACCUGGAGUUCUCUGAUUGUAGCCAUGAAGGGUUUCAGAGUCCUUAUGUGCCAACCACUGGUGGUGGAGUAGCAGCACAAGGUCAAAAUGUUCGCUUCACUUCAGUGCUAGGACACUUCAGACAUGACAUCCUCCAGAACUCCGGAGGUAGAUUUCCAUCAUCCUCUGUCAGCAAUUUACUCAACACCUCUGCAAAUCCAUUGCUGGCUGGACCAUUGCUGGCAAAAGAAAUGUCAGUGCUGUGGUAAUAGAAGAACAUGAAGUUUAUUAUUGCAGCUUUUCCCACCAAAAUCACAGUCACCACUGAAAAAUAAAACACCCAAAUUGUGCUGUGAAUUUCAGUGGCAAAAAUAUGUUCAUUGUCUGCCUCUGUGUGUGUGAAUGGAAACUUAAGAAAAUACUGCUUGGCCAUUAUCACUGUCUUUGGACAACCAUCAACAUCAAUGUCAAGUUGUUACAGAAAGUAGAGUGGAAAGGUCUUGUGGAGUUAACCAGUCUGGUCAUGAAGAACAGUGUUAUUGCACGGUAACAUCAAUGUCAAUGGCGGGUCUGCCUUCCUGCUAUUCAAGUGACCCAGGCAACCAGAUUUUGUGUUGGCUCCUGAAGGUGGACCUGGAUGAAAGAGAACCUGGAAAAAAGCGACUGCACUCACCUCAGUGGCUGGGGAUUGCAGGAAAAAUGUGCUGUCUGCACACCUAACUUCCACCGUGGUGUCUCUAAUGUUACUGGUACUAUCAGGUCAUGCAAUGCAUGGCACGACACAUGGAUCAAGAAGGGAUGGGGGGCUUCCACCGGGAACAGGAGGAUUUACGUCGUUCACAGACCUGAUACAGGCAAUCAGAGAGUACACGUGUCAUCAAAGGAGCUGCGUCGGGAAAGUAAGGGCAUUGCUUUGUGAGUGAAAAAGCAAUCUGAGGAAGUGCUGUAGUACACAUAUCAAUCUGUCUAUUCACUGUUACUAUUAUUAUGAGAAUUUAUUAAAAAUUCUAGCUUAAACUUCCUGCCUCUUUAUUUUUGUAAAAUCAAUAGAUUGUGUAACCAGAUGGGUUGUACAAACACAGACAUCCCUGCCGUUGCGAUGCAGGGAGCUCAAAUGUUCAUAUAAGCAAAAGGUUCAAUGGGCAAGGACAAGAGGUAGAAAAUGCUGGAGAGGCCAGUGCCAGCAGCUGCUGAAUCCCCCUGACUCCCGCAUCGCUGAGAGCACAAGAUGGAGGUGAACAGGGGCUGCCUGGCCACACUUGCUUCCCUCCCAGAAGUUCUAUUAGAUAGCUAAAAGUGGAUUAAGGGAUGAUUUUUACCUUCAAAGGAUUCACAUGACUCAAAAUGAGUUACUUCUGAAAAGUUUUGUUUUGCUAGAAAGAAUAACAAACUAUUUAAAAUAAUAACACGUA